CCUACGGGCGACAGCAGUGAGGAAUAUUGGUCAAUGGACGAGAGUCUGAACCAGCCAAGUAGCGUGAAGGAUGACUGCCCUCUGGGUUGUAAACUUCUUUUAUAAAGGAAUAAAACGAGGCACGUGUGCCUUUUUUCAUGUACUUUAUGAAUAAGGAUCGGCUAACUCCGUGCCAGCAGCCGCGGUAAUACGGAGGAUCCGAGCGUUAUCCGGAUUUAUUGGGUUUAAAGGGAGCGUAGAUGGGUUGUUAAGUAAGUUGUGAAAGUUUGCGGCUCAACCGUAAAAUUGCAAUUGAUACUGGCAGUCUUGAGUACAGGUGAGGUAGGCGGAAUUCGUGGUGUAGCGGUGAAAUGCUUAGAUAUCACGAAGAACCCCGAUUGCGAAGGCAGCUUACUAAACUGUGACUGACAUUGAUGCUCGAAAGUGUGGGUAUCAAACAGGAUUAGAUACCCGUGUAGUC
rnacentral:rRNA from 1 species